rnacentral:rRNA from 1 species
UACGUAGGGUGCGAGCGUUAAUCGGAAUUACUGGGCGUAAAGCGUGCGCAGGCGGUGAUGUAAGACAGGUGUGAAAUCCCGGGGCUCAACCUCGGAACUGCAUUUGUGACUGCAUCGCUGGAGUGCGGCAGAGGGGGAUGGAAUUCCGCGUGUAGCAGUGAAAUGCGUAGAUAUGCGGCGGAACACCGAUGGCGAAGGCAAUCCCCUGGGCCUGCACUGACGCUCAUGCACGAAAGCGUGGGGAGCAAACAGG